GAGCUGAGAUGGCGCCACUGCACUCCAGCCUGUGUGAAAGAGCAAAACUCCAUCAAUCAAUCAAUAAGAUGGAUCAGCAUUUCCAUUGUACAUACCACCCUUAGUCUUCCAGAGUGGUGGAAAACACAAAUCAGAUAAUAAAAGAAUCAAUUGGCAAAGCUUAUGCAAACUUUUAACUUUCCCUGGCUUAAGGCUCUUCCAUUUGCUUGACUUACAUUCUACCUGGUUUGGAAAACAUCAGGUUUCUUUCUCCCUUUGAAAUAGUAAUGGGAAGGUCCAUGUGCCUAGGAUGAAGGAGCCUAUGAACCAGCUUUCCUUAAAGGUGAUAUUCUUUGUUUUUGCUAAGGGCUUGUAAGCUUCUCACUAAAAUUAAGGAUUAAUGAAGGAUUUUUCUUUUUUUUUUUUCCAGAUGGAGUGUCGCUGUGUCACCCAGGCUGGAAUGUAGUAGUGCGAUCUUGGCUCACUGCAACCUGCACCUCCCAGGUUCAAGCGAUUCACCUGCCUCAGCCUCCUGAAUAGCUGGGAUUACAGGCGCACACCACCACACCCAGCUAAUUUUUUGUAUUUUUAGUAGAGACAGAGUUUCACCAUUGGCCAGGCUGGUCUCAAACUCCUGACCUCAAGUAAUCCACCUGCCUCGGUCUCCCAAAAUGCUGGGAUUACAGGUGCGAGCCACACACCCAGCCUAAGGAUUAUUUUAACAGUGAGCUCCCAGAAUAUAAGACCAUCAAAGAUCACAGUCUCCAACCUGGAGAUUUUUUAAAUACAAAAACAUCAAAUAGGGGACUCUUUCCAACAUGUUAGAAGGAACCAUAUCAGGCAGCCCUGCCUCAGUGGGCAUCUUCAACAGCAGAGAUCUUCAAUACCUUAUUUUUCAGACUAGUACAAGGAAUAGAUGAAAUAUUUAUUUGGUUACAUUUAUUUGUUUAAAAAAAUUUUUUUUAGAGAUAGAGUCUGGCUCUGUUGCCCAGGCUGUAAUGCAGUGUCAUGAUUAUAGCUCACUGUAGCCUUAAAUUCCUGAGCUUGAGUGAUCCUCCUGCCUCAGCCCCAUGAGUAACGGACUGCAGGUGGAUGCCACUUCACCUGGCUAAUUUUUUAUUUUAUUUUUAUUUAUUUAUUUUUUUGAGAUAGAGUCUUGCUGUCACCCAGGCUGGAAUGCAGUGGUGCAAUCUUGGCUCACUGCAAACUCCGCCUCCUGGGUUCAUGCCAUUCUCUGGCCUCAGCCUCCCGAGUAGCUGGGACUAUAGGCGACUGCCACCAUGCCUGGCUAAUUUUGUUUUUGUAUUUUUAGUAGAGACGGGAUUUUACCACGUUAGCCAAAAUGGUCUCGAUCUCCUGACUUCGUGAUCCGCCCGCCUCGCCCUCCCAAAAUUCUGGGAUUACAGGCGUGAGCCACUGAGCCUGGCCUAUUUUUAUUUUAUAGAGAUAGGAUCUUUCUAUGUCGCCCAGGCUAUUCUCAAACUCCUGACCUCAAGUGAUCCUCCUGCGUUGGCCUCCCAAAGUUCUGGAAUUAUAGGCAUAAGCCACUGCACCUGGCCUGGUACUUUUAGAAAUAAGAACACUUUUCAGACCUGGAUUUCAAGUUGUUUUGUCAAUAAUUGUCCUUAUUUGCAUCAUAUUUUUUAUUCUUAAGCUGAUUAUGCUUUGUACUUUUAGAUAACUAAGGUCAACAACAGAAAAUGAAUUAUGAUAGUUAGAUGCUUAGAAAGAAUCCAAUAUUCUGCAGCUUCCUUGUAAGCGGAUGGCCUGACCAAGGUCCCAUUGCUCUGUCUCUUUUUUUUGUUAAUCAAUUCAGCAUUGAGACAUCACUAAGUUCAUAAGCCACAAUACCUCUCCUCUCUUCCUCUGACAUGGAACAAGGUUACCUGGGAAUGAGCCUUCCCAGCUACAUGGGAGAAACAUACAUCUAAAAUGUUGAACAUCAAUGCUUUCAGAAGAGAAAGGUUUCAAUCAAAAGAGAGAAAUGAGAAAAAAAAUCAGAGCAGUCUGAGGUACAUGAGGUAUGCAAAACUUAUCAGGCACAAAGAGACAUGAGUGGUCAGGCGCCAUGGCUCACACCUGGAAUCCUAGCACUUUGGAAUGUUGAGGUGGGCAGAUCACUUGAGCUCUGGAGUGCAGUGACACCAUCUUAGCUCACUGCAGCCUCCACCUCCUGGGUUCAAGCAAUUCUCCUGCCUCAGCCUCCUGAGUAGCUGGGACCACAGGUGCAUGCCACCACGCCUGGCUAAUUUUUGUAUUUUUAGUAGAGACAGGGUUUCACCAUGUUGGACUGGCUGGUCUCAAACUCCUGACCUCAGGUGCUGGAGUUACAGGUGUGAGCCACCGUGCCCGGCCCUAAUUUUUGUAUUUUUUGUAGAGAUGGGGUAUCCCCAUGUUGCCCAGGCUAGUCUCAACUCCUGGGCUCAAGUGAUCCACCUGCCUCAGCCUCCCAAAGUGCUGAAAAUACAGGUGUGAGCCACUAUGCCCAGCCUCAGCCAUUAUCUUCCUGUUCCUGGAAUUUGUGAUAUAAAGAACAAUGUACAGCCAAUCAAUAGCUUAUAUUACUUUAACAUAAAUUCUUUUUUUAUUUUUUUUGAGACAAGAGUCUCAUCCUGUUGCCCAGGUUGGAGUACAGUGUUGCAUUCUCGGCUCACUGCAACCUCCGCCUCCCGGGUUCAAGCAAUUCUUCUGCCUCAGCCUCCUGAGUAGCUGGGAUUACAGGCACAUGCUACCAUGCCCCAGUAAUUGUAUUUUUGGUAAAGACAGGGUUUCACCAUGUUGGCCAGGCUGGUCUCAAACUCCUGACCUCAGGUAAUCUGUCCACCUUAGCCUCCAAAAGUGCUGAGAUUACAGAGGUGAGCCACCAUGACCGGCCCUAACAUAAAUUCUUGAUAAGCAACUUAGAAAUUGCCUCUUCUAUAUUCCUUUAAAAACCCACUUAUAACUGCUGUUAAUCAGAGCGUAUAUUCAGGGCAACUUGAAUCUGUGCUCCUGGGUUGUAGUCCAUUAACUUGGCCCAAACAGACUCUGUACUUAGUUAAUUUUUCCUCAGUUUUUUUCCUUUUGGUUAACAGAAGAAAACAAGGAAACAACAGCAAAAGUCUAGAGGGGAGGGUGGUGGGUGGGAGAGAGUGGGAAUAGAGAUCAGGACAUGGACUUGCUACAAUAUAUUAUUAUUGUUAUUAUUAUUAUUAUUUUCCGAGACAGAGUCUUGCUCUGUCACCUAGGCUUAGUGCAGUGGGAUGAUCUUGGCUCACUGCAACCUCCACCUCCCAGGUUUAAGCAAUUCUCCUGCCUCAGCCUCCUCUGUCAAAAAAAAAAAAAAAAAAAAAAGAUUUAUAUUUUUCUUUUUUUUUAUCAAGUCAUAAUCAUGGAACAGGGUAUGAAGAAGACCAAGUUGGGCUGGAACUUGGUUCCCUGACUCACAUGAGCUACAACUCCCACCUCUGUCUGGCUAAUUUUUGUAUUUUUAGUAGAGAUGGGGUUUCACCAUGUUGGCCAGGCUGGUCUCAAACUCCUGACCUCGUGAUCUGCCCGCCUCGGCCUCCCAAAGUGCUGGGAUUACAGGCGUGAGCCACCAUGCCCGGCCUAACAAUAUAUUAUUUAAAAUGUCCACUUUGUAACACGAAGUUACAAGAUGAGCAAAAAACAUGAAAGUGUGAUCCAUACACAGGAGAAAACAAAACAGGUAAUAGAAACUGCCUUUGAAGAGCCCAGAUGUUGACUUUAGUAGACAAACAAAUACUUUUUUUUGUUUGUUUGUUUUUGAGACGGAGUCUCACUCUGUCGCCUAGGCUGGAGUGCAAAGGUGCAAUCUCAGCUCACUGCCAACCUCCGCCUCCUGGGUUCAAGCAAUUCUGCCUCAGCCUCCUGAGUAGCUGGGAUUACAGGUGCACACCAUCACAUCCGGCUAAUUUUGGUAUUUUUAGUAGAGACGGGGGUUUCACCAUGUUGGUCAGGCUGUUCUUGAACCCCUGACCUUGAGAUCCGCCCACCUCAGCCUCCCAAAGUGCUGGGAUUACAGGCGUGAGCCACCGCGCCGGGCCUUUUAUUUAUUUAUUUAUUUUUUUUUGAGAGCAUCUUGCACUGUUUCCUGGGCUGCAGUGCAGUGGCACAAUCUCGGCUCACUGCAACCUCCACCUCCUGUGUUCAAAUGAAUCUCGUGCCUCAGCCCCCCAGGUAGCUGGGAUUACAGGUAUGCGCCACCACACCCAGCUAAUUUUUGUAUUUUUAGCAGAAAUGGGGUUUCGCCAUAUUGGCCAAGCUGGUCUUAAACUCCUGGCCUCAAGUGAUCCACCCACCUCAGCCUCCCAAAGUGCAGGGAUUAUAGGCGGGAGCCCCCACACCUGGCCUAGCAUACAAAUACUUCCAAGCAGCUAUUACAAAUAUGUUCACACAACUCUUAGUUGGUUCAGGCUGCUAUGACAAAUUACCAUAGACUGGGUGGCUUAAACAACAGAAAUUUAUUUCUCAUAGCUAUGGAGGCUAGGAAGUCUGAGAUUUUGGUGCCAGCAUGUUCAUGUUCUGGUGAGGGCCCUCUUCUGAUUGCAGACUACUAUGUUCUUACUGUAUCUCAUAUGGCAGAAACAGACACUCUCUGGGAUCCCUUUCUUCUUAUUAUUAUUUUUUUUGAGAUGGACUCUCGCUCUGUCACCCAGGCUGGAGUGCAGUGGCACGAUCUCGGCUGACUGCAAACUCCGCCUCCCAGGUUCAAGCGAUCCUCCUGCCUCAGCCUCCCAAGUAGCUGGGAUUACAGGUGCAUACCACCACGCCCGGCUAAUUUUUGUAUUUUUGGUAGAGAGGGGGUUUCACCAUGUUGGUCAGGCUGGUCUUGAACUCCUGACCUCAGGUGAUCCACUUGCCUCAGCCUCCCAAAGUGCUGGGAUUACAGGCAUAAGCCACUGAGCCCAGCCCCCUUUCUUUUCUUUUCUUUUUUUUUUUUUUUGAGAUGGAGUCUCGCUCUGUUGCCCAGGCUGGAGUGCAGUGGCAUGAUCUUGGCUCACUGCAAUCUCUGCCUCCUGGGUUCACGCCAUUCUCCUGCCUCAGCCUCCCAAGUAGUUGGGACUACAGGCGCCUGCCACCAUGCCUGGCUAAUUGUUUCUAUUUUUUAGUAGAGAUGGGGUUUCACUGUGCUAGCCAGGAUGAUCUUGAUCUCCUGACCUCGUACACACCGCCC
rnacentral:lncRNA from 1 species